rnacentral:piRNA from 1 species
UGGUGCUGCUGUCUCUAUCACUGAUGAUU